rnacentral:rRNA from 1 species
AUUGAACGCUGGCGGCAGGCCUAACACAUGCAAGUCGAACGGUAACAGGAAGAAGUUUGCUUCUUUGCUGACGAGUGGCGGGCGGGUGUGUAAUGUCUGUGAACCUGCCUGAUGGAGGGGGUUAACUACUGGAAACGGUAGCUAAUACCGCAUAACGUCGCAAGACCAAAGAGGGGGACCUUCGGGCCUCUUGCCAUCGGAUGUGCCCAGAUGGGAUUAGCCAGUAGGUGGGGUAACGGCUCACCUAGGCCACGAUCCCUAGCUGGUCUGAGAGGAUGACCAGCCACACUGGAACUGAGACACGGUCCAGACUCCUACGGGAGGCAGCAGUAGGGAAUAUUGCGCAAUGGGCGCAAGCCUGAUGCAGCCAUGCCGCGUGUAUGAAGAAGGCCUUCGGGUUGUAAAGUACUUUCAGCGGGGAGGAAGAAAUUAGAGUGUAUACCUUUGCUCAUUGACGUUACCCGCAGAGGAAGCACCGGCUAACUCCGUG